UUUUCUUUUUUUGGAUAGAUAAUAGAAGCAAUCUGUGAAUUUGUUUUCAUUAAAUGACAUUUGCUACUGUGCACUGCAGAGUAAGUACUUAUAACCAAAAGUAGAGAAAUCCAUAAGUCACUGCUAUGCCCAGCAAAAAUUUCUUGUCUCAAAUGGAUGACAUGUUCACCCAGUUAUAUAAUAAGCAUUUUACCCUUCACAGGUGUAGUUCAGGUAGCUAAUUACGCCAAG
rnacentral:misc_RNA from 1 species